UUGAUUUUGACUUUUAUCCUACAUGGAUAACUGUGGUAAUUCUGGAGCUAAUACAUGCAUAAAAGAUAUUUCAUUUAUUGAAACAUUGCGUAUAUUAGUAUUAAAACCAAGCAUUCUUCGGAAUGUUUUGUGUUGAAACUGAAUAUAUCUGCUGAUCGUAUGGUCUUGUACCGACGACAUGUCAUUCAAGUGUCUGAUCUAUCAACUCUCUAUAUAAGUAUAUAGUACUUAUAUGGUUUUGACGGAUAACGGGGUAUUAGGGUACGACUCCGGAGAAAAUGCCUGAGAAACGGCGUUUACAUCCAAGGAAGGCAGCAGGCGCGAAAAUUACCAACUCUCAGUACGAGGAGGUAGUGACGAGAAAUGACAAGAUCUAUUCCUUCGGGGAUGGAUCAUUGGAAUGGUUUGAUUUUAAAAUCAUUAAAGAGUAUCAAUGAGAGGGCAAGUCUGGUGCCAGCAGCCGCGGUAAUUCCAGCUCUCAUACUGCAUUGAAUUGUUGUUGCGGUUAAAAAGCUCGUAGUUGGAUCUGUACAUGAUAGGUUGGUUUAUUCUUUACGGAAUAUAACUAAUACUAAAUGUUUUUUGUUAGAUUUUUUUAUGGUUUGUAAGAAUCAUAAAAUGUCUAGCGAGUUUACUUUGAAUAAAUCAGAGUGCUCAAAACAGGCGUAAGCUUGUAUGGUUUUGCAUGGAAUAAUAGAACAUGACUAUGGUUCAUGUUUUAUUGGUUUUACUUACCAUAGUAAUGAUUAAAAGGAACAAACGGGGGCAUCCGUAUCGCAUGGCGAGAGGUGAAAUUCGUGGACCCUUGCGAGACGAACUACAGCGAAAGCAUUUGCCAAGAAUG
rnacentral:rRNA from 1 species